ACAGCGAACCCGAUUGGUCGAGCUAAAGAGACAACCAAAUAAUUGAAAUUUGUCCGAAUGACUGAAAUAUGGUCGCGCAGUUUGCAGGCGUUGACAUAGACAUAAGUGAACGUUUUGGUAAUUUUACUAGCAGUUCGUUUCUGUGCUUAGAUAGGUGUGGAUCGUGAUAGAGAACGUUUGGGAGUAAACUCAUUACAAUCAGAUAAAUUCCAACUAUCUUUCAGUCAGCAUGUUGAACAUACAGAGUAUCGUAUCCAGUUUGGCUAUGAGUUUAGUCCUAGUCAGUGUGGUGUGCCAAGAGUUCCCCGUGGACGACUACUACAGAAAUGUUGGACUAGAAAGUAAAGAGUCUACAUUGUCGGUAUGUGAUCGCUGCUACCUAUAUGUCGAUAAACAAGCUUGUCAGCUCUGUGACCUGGAAACGGAAGAAUUACAGGAAACGGAAAUUCCGAAAGUGCCGGCUAGUCCGUACGGAGGUUUGAACAAAAGAGCUGGCUACAUCCGCCACACUCGUCUCUUCUCCUGCCAGUGUUGCGCUAUAUCUCGAAAUCGCCAUUUCAACUGUUGUUCGAAAUGCGCAGCAUACAACGGCAAGUGAACGGAAAUGGCUAGUAUUGUCUAACCGGAAGUGGUAUGUCUCAUUGGAGAAACGCGAGAAACGUAUGGCGGUGUGUUUUAUCCGGACACCAAAAAUGCAACUAUGUCGUGUGUCAGUUGUUGUGAAUGUUGUUGACCAUCAGACAAUACUAAACUUUAGAGGACUGUGUGUGAAUCUGACAUGGAUUACAGCUACAGUUAACCAGAACUGACAAAUGCUUACUCUUAAAGGAAGAUGGCCUUUUGAUAUUUCGCUUGUAAUUUCCUAAAUAUGGGAGCAUUGCAUCUUCUGCAUUACUAACGUUUUAUAUAUUCCUGAAACGAUGACAAAUGCACAUGUAAUAUUAAGUCUGUAUCCAUAAAUCACUACGUCACAGUUCCUAACAUUAAAUACUGUUUUAACCACACAUGUAUUCCAAUGAAACUUUGGUCUUUUUCAUCCAGGUGGAAACUGCAACUCUCAAAGCUUCUUUCCUGGUCGAGAUUUGUAUGAGAUAGCUGUAAUAUAAAAACAACGGUUUAAGAGAACACCUAAGUAAUUACGAUUUGAUAUAUCACAUUUAGUUUCCUUAUACGUAAAGUGGAAUUUUGUCAUACUCUCAAUUAUGCCAAUUUACCAAAAUUACAGCUAAGGAUCAGCAAAAAAUAGAUUUGUGUUAUAUUUGUCCCACCAGGUACCUCGACCACAUGGGUUUCAGAAAUCAGAUAUGUAUCCUGAUUAUUCGGGCUUUACGUCCAUAAAUUUUCAAACCUUCAAGGAAAAAUGUCCUCUCAUUACACCAAACAAUACUUACUCAUUUGCACAAUAAGGGAGACAAAUGACAAUCAGUUUUAAAGGUUGUUUUCUAUUUUAGUUUCUUUUUUAAGGUUGCUUGUAUCAAUAUGAAUUCUGUUGAAAGUGGUUUUAAAUUCUAUUCCUUUCUGGUUUUUGCGCCUAAUAUUGUGCAUUUUUUCAUAACCUUCUCAUGUGCUAGUUUGUACAUUUGGUGCACUACAAUAAAACUGUAUGUGUAUUAUAACAUGUUUAUUUUGCAUGUGUGUUUCUAAAGAAUAUUUGUAUCUAUUAUCAUAACGUACAUAUCAUUGUGCUACUACGUUUAAAACACUUUGAAAUUGUCGAUUCAAAUUUGUCACUAAAUAUACCAUUAAACAAUUUCGCGUUUUGACUUAUAAAUCGUAUCAAUCAGCAAGCCGAAGUAAUUGUAGAAAGCUCAGUUAACCUACCACCACUGACUCUGUUGUAGUUUAAUCAGAUUUACUUUUUGCGGGGGAGAGAAAUUAAAUGUUUUCUUGUGAUUGGCAGUUAAUGUAUAUUUAUCUUGAUUUCUAGCAUUUUAAAACCAAUAUGAAGGCUCUUUUUCCAAAUGAAUUUUUUAAGAAAUCGCUUUGGCGAUUCCAUUUUGGUUUUGUUACAAGUGUUUGUGUAAAAAUGAUCUCUUUAUUGUUAUGUAUUCAAAGGCGUGAUUUUGAAUAAAUUAUUUUCUCAAAAUA